UGGGGAAUAUUGCACAAUGGGCGCAAGCCUGAUGCAGCCAUGCCGCGUGUAUGAAGAAGGCCUUCGGGUUGUAAAGUACUUUCAGCGGGGAGGAAGGGAGUAAAGUUAAUACCUUUGCUCAUUGACGUUACCCGCAGAAGAAGCACCUGCUAACUCCGUGCCAGCAGCCGCGGUAAUACGGAGGGUGCAAGCGUUAAUCGGAAUUACUGGGCGUAAAGCGCACGCAGGCGGUUGGUUGAGUCAGAUGUGAAAUCCCCGGGCUUAACCCGGGAAUUGCAUCUGAUACUGGUCAGCUAGAGUCUUGUAGAGGGGGGUAGAAUUCCAUGUGUAGCGGUGAAAUGCGUAGAGAUGUGGAGGAAUACCGGUGGCGAAGGCGGCCCCCUGGACAAAGACUGACGCUCAGGUGCGAAAGCGUGGGGAGCAAACAGG
rnacentral:rRNA from 1 species